GCACCCACCGGUCACGUCUUUGACGUUAGGAGUCCCCUGCGUCCAGGGCGAGGCUUGUCCAUUCCAUUGCACCUCGGACGAUUUGACCCUUGCGAGCAUCCCUAAUGAGGGCGCCUCGGGCACGCAAUUUUUGAAAGUCGGGACUGCGUUUGCGCUAUUUCGGA